CAUCUCCCUCAUGUCUCUGGGAAUGGAUAUAGGGGGAAGGCCUACUGAUGGUGUAAUGACUAUAGAGAGAAGGCCUACUGAUGGUGUAAUGACUAUAGAGAGAAGGCCUUCUACUGAUGGUGUAAUGACUAUAGAGAGAAGGCCUUCUACUGAUGGUGUAAUGACUGUAGAGAGAAGGCCUACUGAUGGUGUAAUGACUAUAGAGAGAAGGCCUACUGAUGGUGUAAUGACUAUAGAGAGAAGGACUACUGAUGGUGUAAUGACUAUAGAGAGAAGGACUACUGAUGGUGUAAUGACUAUAGAGAGAAGGCCUACUGAUGGUGUAAUGACUAUAGAGAGAAGGUCUACUGAUGGUGUAAUGACUAUAGAGAGAAGGACUACUGAUGGUGUAAUGACUAUAGAGAGAAGGCCUACUGAUGGUGUAAUGACUAUAGAGAGAAGGUCUACUGAUGGUGUAAUGACUAUAGAGAGAAGGCCUACUGAUGGUGUAAUGACUAUAGAGAGAAGGCCUUCUACUGAUGGUGUAAUGACUAUAGAGAGAAGGCCUUCUACUGAUGGUGUAAUGACUAUAGAGAGAAGGACUACUGAUGGUGUAAUGACUAUAGAGAGAAGGCCUACUGAUGGUGUAAUGACUAUAGAGAGAAGGACUACUGAUGGUGUAAUGACUAUAGAGAGAAGGCCUACUGAUGGUGUAAUUACUAUAGAGAGAAGGACUACUGAUGGUGUAAUAACUAUAGAGAGAAG